rnacentral:rRNA from 1 species
GACGUAGGGGGGCGAGCGUUUGUCCGGAUUUAUUGGGCGUAAAGAGCUUGUAGGCGGUUUGUCGCGUCUGCUGUGAAAUUUCGGGGCUCAACCCCGAACUUGCAGUGGGUACGGGCAGACUAGAGUGUGGUAGGGGAGACUGGAAUUCCUGGUGUAGCGGUGAAAUGCGCAGAUAUCAGGAGGAACACCGAUGGCGAGGCAGGUCUCUGGGCCA